rnacentral:tRNA from 1 species
GCGCACGCGGACGGGCCGGCCCGGUGCUGUUCGCACCGGGCCGGCCCGUUCCGUACGGCUCGUACGCCCC